rnacentral:rRNA from 1 species
AUGGAGGAGGUGGAGGUUCCGUCCUACUUCGUGUGCCCUAUCACGCUGGACGUCAUGCGCGACCCCGUCACGCUCCCCACCGGCAUCACCUACGACCGCCACGCCAUCCACCGCUGGCUCCGCCUCGCCGCCUCCUGCCCGCUCACCAAGCUGCCCGUCGCGCCGGACUGCGAGCCCACGCCCAACCACACGCUCUGCCGCCUCAUCCGCUCCUGGUGCGCCCUCCACCGCCCCGACGACGCCGUCGACCAUACGAUGAAGCCGGCCCCUGCCGACCGCGCCCGCCUGGCCGCGCUGGUGUCGCGGCUCGCCGACGCGAAGAACAAGAGACCGUCGCGAGUGGCCCUCGCUGCGCUCCGCGAGCUUAGGGACGUCGUGGCGGAGGGCGAGUGCGGUAGGGAACUCGUCGCCGCCGUACCCGGCUCUGCGGAUGCCCUGCUCGACGUCUUCGUCUCGUCUGCGACGUCAGCGCCAGAGAACGCCGCCGCGGCACUCGACGUCAUCUCCUCGCUCCGGCUCCCGGAGCGGUGCCUGGCGCGCGCCGUCGACAGGGAUGGCACGGCGCUGGUCGGCGCGCUCGUCUCUACCCUGCAGGGACACUCCGGCUCCGACGCCGACGCGGCGUCCCGGGCACGCGCGGCCGUGCUCCUGGCGGACGUGACGGCGUGCAUGGCGCCCAGCAGAGCGGCGUCGCUCCCGGAGAAGGUGUUCGUCGAGACUGCGCGGCUGCUCCGCGGCGACGACGGCAUGGGCGCCUCGACCUCGAUGGCGACCAAGGCAGCGCUGCGGGUGCUUGCAGGCGCGACCGCCCACGGGCGGAACCGAGUGAAGGCCGCGGAGGCCGGCGCGGUGGCUGUGCUCGUGGACAUGCUGCUGCUCGUGAACGGCGAGAGGCGGCGAGCGUGGUGCGAGCUGGCGCUGUGCGCGCUGAACCGGCUGUGCGGGUGCGCGGAGGGCCGCGCAGCGCUGGUGGCGCACGGAGCCGGCGUGGCAGCCGUGGGGGCGUGGGUGGCCGGGGCGUCGAUGGCGGCUAGCGCGAAGGCGGUGCGAGUGCUCCGAUCAAUCGCCCGGCACACGGCGACGGUGGCGGUGGUGCAGGAGAUGGCGGCGACGGGCGCGGUGGGGAAGCUGUGCCUGGUGGCGGCGUCGGCGCCGGAGGAGGAGCGGCAGUGGUGCGACGAGAGGACGAGGGAGCGGGCACGGCAGACGCUCCGGCUGCACGCCAGGGCGUGGCGGAGCUCGCCGUGCUUGCAUCCUACCCUCCAGGCCCUCUACCCUUUCUAA